AUAAAAAUAAGCUAAUAAAGCUAAUGAGUUCAUACCUCAUUUAUAUAGAAUAUCUAUUUUUUAUU
rnacentral:tRNA from 1 species